AUUGAACGCUGGCGGCAUGCUUUACACAUGCAAGUCGAACGGCAGCGCGGGCUUCGGCCUGGCGGCGAGUGGCGCACGGGUGAGUAAUGCAUCGGAACGUGCCCAGUAGUGGGGGAUAGCCCGGCGAAAGCCGGAUUAAUACCGCAUACGACCUGAGGGUGAAAGCGGGGGACCGAAAGGCCUCGCGCUAUUGGAGCGGCCGAUGUCGGAUUAGCUAGUUGGUGGGGUAAAGGCUUACCAAGGCGACGAUCCGUAGCUGGUCUGAGAGGACGACCAGCCACACUGGGACUGAGACAGGGCCCAGACUCCUACGGGAGGCAGCAGUGGGGAAUUUUGGACAAUGGGGGCAACCCUGAUCCAGCCAUGCCGCGUGCGGGAAGAAGGCCUUCGGGUUGUAAACCGCUUUUGUUCGGGAAGAAAUCCUCUGGGCUAAUACCCCGGGGGGAUGACGGUACCGGAAGAAUAAGCACCGGCUAACUACGUG
rnacentral:rRNA from 1 species